rnacentral:rRNA from 1 species
UACGUAGGGUGCGAGCGUUGUCCGGAAUUACUGGGCGUAAAGAGCUUGUAGGUGGUUUGUCGCGUUGUUCGUGAAAUCUCACGGCUUAACUGUGAGCGUGCGCGAUACGGGCAGACUAGAGUACUGCAGGGGAGACUGGAAUUCCUGGUGUAGCGGUGGAAUGCGCAGAUAUCAGGAGGAACACCGGUGGCGAAGGCGGUUCUCUGGGAAUAUCCUGACGCUGAGGAGCGAAAGUGUGGGGAGCGAACAGG